CUUUCUGGGUUGGGAAAAAGCCACCGCUUCUCCACUUUGCGGUUUUCCAGGCUGUUGUGCAAACAGAAAAGACCGGUGCUGUUGGAAUAAGGCCAGGCGCACGCGGCGAGGUGGGCACCAAAGGCCGACACCGUAAUCAUCUACUGGUUUGGAAGCGAACCCCAGAGCGUGGCGAGAGGCGAGGAGAUGGUGAGGAAGUGACGGCCGUGUGGUGAGACGUGAAGUCGGAUGCUGACAUUUUCCUGUGAUCACAAGGAGGAGAAAAGGGGCAGUCGGCACCUGUGCAGGUCUGUGCCAGCUCUACUCAGGGAGGCAGAGAUGGCGAGAGCCUGCUGUGACCCCGUCCUCCUCCUCCUCCCUGCACGGCUGUACCUGGGCCCAGCGGCGUGUGGUCCUGAGGAGUCCCCGUGUGGCCCACCACGUGGAGUUGGGGCAGCGAAAAUGGGAGAGGCAGAUGCUUUGUCAACCUCCCGUGAGCUCACCCGGCUGGUGGGCUGGCGCAAGGCGAAAGCGAUUUUGUGGCCAGAGCUCACCCAAGAACCUCAACGCAGGAGCAC
rnacentral:lncRNA from 1 species